CCUACGGGAGGCAGCAGUGAGGAAUAUUGGUCAAUGGACGCGAGCCUGAACCAGCCAAGUCGCGUGAGGGAAGACGGUCCUAUGAGUUGUAAACCGCUUUUGUCGGGGGGCAAAAGACGCCACGCGUGGCGUUCCGAGAGUACCCUAAGAAAAAGCAUCGGCUAACUCCGUGCCAGCAGCCGCGGUAAUACGGAGGAUGCGAGCGUUAUCCGGAUUUAUUGGGUUUAAAGGGUGCGCAGGCGGAAGAUCAAGUCAGCGGUAAAAUUGAGGGGCUCAACCUCUUCGAGCCGUUGAAACUGGUCUGCUUGAGUGAGCGUGCGGUAGGCGGAAUGUGUGGUGUAGCGGUGAAAUGCAUAGAGAUCACGCAGAACACCGAUUGCGAAGGCAGCAUACC
rnacentral:rRNA from 1 species